CUAUUGGUGUUCGACUAAGCCAUGCAAGUCAUAUGUUCCUCGUGAACAUGGCAUACUGCUCAGUAACACGUGGAUAACCUGCCCUUGGGUCUGGGAUAACCCCGGGAAACUGGGGAUAAUACUGGAUAACGCAUAUGUGCUGGAAUGCUUUAUGCGUAAAACGGAUUCGUCCGCCCAAGGAUGGGUCUGCGGCCUAUCAGGUAGUAGUGGGUGUAAUGUACCUACUAGCCAACAACGGGUACGGGUUGUGAGAGCAAGAGCCCGGAGAUGGAUUCUGAGACAUGAAUCCAGGCCCUACGGGGCGCAGCAGGCGCGAAAACUUUACAAUGCGGGAAACCGUGAUAAGGGAACACCGAGUGCCAGCAUCAUAUGCUGGCUGUCCAGAUGUGUAAACUACAUCUGUUAGCAAGGGCCGGGCAAGACCGGUGCCAGCCGCCGCGGUAACACCGGCGGCCCGAGUGGUGACCGUUAUUAUUGGGUCUAAAGGGUCCGUAGCCGGUUUGGUCAGUCCUCCGGGAAAUCUGAUAGCUUAACUGUUAGGCUUUCGGGGGAUACUGCCAGGCUUGGAACCGGGAGAGGUAAGAGGUACUACAGGGGUAGGAGUGAAAUCUUGUAAUCCCUGUGAGACCACCUGUGGCGAAGGCGUCUUACCAGAACGGGUUCGACGGUGAGGGACGAAAGCUGGGGGCACGAACCGGAUUAGAUACCCGGGUAGUCCCAGCCGUAAACUAUGCUCGCUAGGUGUCAGGCAUGGCGCGACCGUGUCUGGUGCCGCAGGGAAGCCGUGAAGCGAGCCACCUGGGAAGUACGGCCGCAAGGCUGAAACUUAAAGGAAUUGGCGGGGGAGCACAACAACGGGUGGAGCCUGCGGUUUAAUUGGACUCAACGCCGGACAACUCACCGGGAACGACAGCAAUAUGUAGGCCAGGCUGAAGACCUUGCCUGAAUCGCUGAGAGGAGGUGCAUGGCCGUCGCCAGUUCGUACUGUGAAGCAUCCUGUUAAGUCA
rnacentral:rRNA from 1 species